CUGUGUAGGAUAGACCUCUGAACAGUACGCAACGAACGCGAUCGUAAUCCCUUGUUGAGUGGCCAUCCUGUAAGCUGCUGGAUUUGGAACCCAGUGGUAUUAUCUCAGCCACAGAUUUUCUGGUUGUAAUGGGCCAGUUUUGAAACUCGGGGAACAUCUGUGACUUUCUUUCUUAACGCAGAGGAAGGUUAUGGCAAUAACAGGUCUGUGAUGCCCUUAGAUGUCCAGGGCUGCACACGUACUACAUUGAUCAACUCAGUAGGCGUCGUGUUUUCUCCAAUAACGUAUCUAGUGGACUUGGUGUCGGGUGUGUGGCCUCUGGUCAUGUACUUUGAUUACUGUCAC
rnacentral:rRNA from 1 species